rnacentral:rRNA from 1 species
ACGCUGGCGAUAGGCCUAACACAUGCAAGUCGAGGGGCAGCACAUGAAGCAGCAAUGCGGAUGGUGGCGACCGGCGCACGGGUGAGUAACACGUAUGCAACCUGCCUGCAACAAGGGGAUAACCCGUUGAAAGACGGGCUAAUAUCCUAUAAUACAGGGGCCCCGCAUGGGGAUAUUUGUUAAAGAUUAAUCGGUUGCGGAUGGGCAUGCGUUCCAUUAGGUAGUUGGAGGGGUAACGGCCCCCCAAGCCAACGAUGGAUAGGGGAACUGAGAGGUUUAUCCCCCACACUGGUACUGAGACACGGACCAGACUCCUACGGGAGGAAGCAGUGAGGAAUAUUGGUCAAUGGAGGCAACUCUGAACCAGCCACGUCGCGUGAAGGAAGACGGCCCUACGGGUUGUAAACUUCUUUUGUAAGGGAAUAAAGUGUAGUACGCGUACUAUUUUGCAAGUACCUUACGAAUAAGGAUCGGCUAACUCCGUGCCAGCAGCCGCGGUAAUACGGAGGAUCCGAGCGUUAUCCGGAUUUAUUGGGUUUAAAGGGUGCGCAGGCGGAAGAUUAAGUCGGCGGUGAAAUUUUGCAGCUCACUGUAAAGUGCCUUCGAAGCUGGUUUCUUGAGUGUGGAUGAAGUAGGCGGAAUUUGUGGUG